ACACAGUACCUAUAGACUUGAUAAAAAAAUAUACAAAGGUCUUAUUCUUAUGAAAAAAACGCAUCUACAAAAAUGUCUCCACCGGACCUAGAAUUUUUAAUAUUAAGCGUUUACAAAAAAUUUUUGAAGAAAUUUAUGCAAAUGGAAGGUGGGAAGAAAUGAAAUUCAAAGAUGUGUAAAUAAAAACGAUUCACAGGCAAAUAUUUACAGUGAGUUCUUUUUAAUUUUUCGCCCCACAACGCUAUGGGCGAUUCUCGACUACCUCUAUUUAUCUAAACAACAAAGGCAACAAGAAAGAACAUAAUAAAUGCAUGACGGAAUGCCAAAAGAACAACAUUAUUUACUUAGCCGAUUUUUUUUCAUUCAGAUAUAACUUAUUCGUGUAUAUCUUCAUUUGUGGGAUUCAAAGCAGUCGAACUCCAGAACACAGUAAAAUAAAAUUCGAUGACAAAGACCGCAGACAUAUUACCGAAAUUUGGCGUAAUUAUUAAUUCUGGUCACAAUGCAGACCCGACGGAAAACACACAACCAACUAAGCAUUGACUUCCAGCGGUCUAACGCUCCCACUAUCAUUACACACUCUUAGGCGUAUUUUCAAAUACGAGGAAUACACUGCCUCGCGGGCCUUUUGGGAAAUGCGCUCGUCAUUUUAGUGGUCGUCGCCAACCAGCAGAUGCAUUCCACCAUCAACCUGCUUAUUAUCAAUCUAGCCAUUUCCGAUAAACUCUGCUUGGGUGGCCAUUGUGACAUCGGCCAUACCCGUGGCGUUAUCGCACUCCAUUCAACUAUACUAUUUCAAAGGACGCAAUUACACAGCGUGUGUCUUUUCAUCGCACGAGGUAAUCUGGAAUCUCUUUGCUU